GCGGCGAUAUUGGCUGGUGUUAAGACGUCACUUUACACCAGCUGCCUGGUCCUGCCCAAGAAGCCUUUGUCAGACGUCAUCUCUAGGUGCAGAGAUAAAAUAUCUCAUAGGGGUGGUCCUGAGGCCUGGAAUGAUCAAAUGAAGUUUUGAGUAGUGUUAAGGGCCGAUGUUACUGCAUGGGUUGGGGGUGCAGAUGGUGACCACGUGGGCCUUGCAGCCCCUAGACGCCAGUGCCUUGGAAAUGCCUGCACCAGUCAGGAGAGUGAGGUUUCAAGAUGCAAGUUCGUACACUAAAUUAGGAAUCCUCAUUUCUGAUUCCCUGCGAAACCGGUAACUGGUAGGAUGCUCACAGUCUGCUAGUUGUUUUCAAAGGAGCCGCAAGAGCUUUAGCUGCUCUUUGGAUCUAGCUGUGAGUCUAGUUGGAAUGGUUCGGGAGUGGGGGAUCCCCAGGUAUAAGCCAGUUGAGGCCUUCUGGACGGAGAGGAAGAGGCAGAACCAUUUGUCCCACCUUCCAGGAUCCCGGAUAGCAGGAGAGAUAAAGCUGUCCAUGGAUCGCCUUUGGAGAGGAUUUGCAAAGGCCAAUGUGGUGCUGGUGACUACAGCAUGAAGAGUUCCAGAAUCUCCCUAUGUUCCUGGCUUAAAAGGAACUUGGGAUCCCAGGAGGGACGAUGUUUCUGUGAUACAUCCCAAGAUGCUGGUGAACUCAAAGAGGACUCCUACUUGCUACUUACCUAGCAAGGUAAGGAAUGGAAUAGUUUCUAUUCUAAGAUUUUUAGGUUCAAGGCUAGAUGAGAGCAUAUUGGGCUGGGGAUGAUGGAGAGUUGACAUCCUUGUGACAAAUAUUAUGUGCCUGUUAAUAAUACAAGUAAGCAUGUGCAUUAUUGUUGUUUAAUUUUGCCUUGGAAUUUCCAUCCAAGGAAAUAACAUAAGAAAAAGAAACUAUAAAAAUAUUGAAAAUACAAUUAUUUUUAAAUGGCAGUGUUAGUUACCUAGAAAAAUAUAAAAGAAUUGACUGGAAAACCCUGAGGACUAGUAAUAGAAACGGAGUUCGAUAAAGGUACUUCUCACAAAAUAUAUAAUACAUAAAUUCACGUAGUUCUUAUAGAUUGACAAUAACCAUUUAGAAAAUAUAACAGGAAAAAUGCCAUUCAGAAUAGCAACGUAAAUUUAAGCCUAAAACAAAAUCUGGAAGACCCACAUAAAAAAUUCUACAAAACAUUUACUGAGACACUUAAGAAGAAUUAAACAAUUGAAAAGACCUACCCUGUUCUUAGAUAGGAAGAAUAAAGAUUUUAAAGAUAUCAGAGUUCCCCAAGUUUAUCAUAAAUUAUGUAAUGCAAGUAGUACAGUGCAUUUUUGGCUGUAUCUGAUGAAAUGAUUUUGAAAUUAUGGAAUACAACCAGCUAUAUAACAAGGAAGGAAACAUUAAUCUAGAAAGAAUAAUGUGUUUAAUAUUUGCACUACCAAAUAUUAAAAUGAUCGAUAAAGCUACCAUACAUCAAAAUUAACCCAUGGAACAAAAUAAAAAUCUAAAAUUAGACCUAAGUGUAUGUUAAAAAUGGUACAGUAAGCAGAGAUUACAUGAAAAGUAGUGCUAGAAAUUUUGGCUAAUUAGUAAUGAAAACAAGAAAAAUCAUACCUUAAAAAAUGAAAUAAGAUUUAGAUUUUAUAUGGUUUAUAUAUUUAAAUAUAAAAAUUGGGUUCUAGAUUAAUAUUUAUCUGAAUCAAUUAUGUGGAAGUCUUUUCUAAACUUAAAACAAGUCUUUUUAGAACCAUGAAAAAGAUUGAUAGUUUAGAUUCUAUAACUAUUUGAAGUUUUCUAUGUCAAAAUUUACUAUAAACAAGGUGUUUAUAGUGGAGCUGGGGAAAACCUCUCCCCCUGAGAGACAUUGAGCUGGUCAAAAUGAGCAAAGACAAUUAUGUAAAGUCUCUGGAGAUGGAUCAAAGGGCUUAUGACACAUUAAGGGACAUUUAUUCAGCAGAGGUUACAGAAUCUUGCAUGAGAACAUGGCAUUUGUGCUCGGGACUGCACCUAUUGCCUCACAGCUACAUGUUCCAGAAAAGCGGUUCCAGCAGGCUGGGCAGUGGAGUGGCAGGUCUCAGCUCUCCUACAUUUCUUGAGUGGGAGAACUAUUCCAGUGGAUUGGUAGCCAGUAGACAUUGGCAGAUCCCCUUUCUCCAGCUGCAUGCUGCAGAAGGCCUCUGUUGAGUAGGUGGUGGCAGUGGCCAUUACCCUACUCCCAAUUCUUGCCAGGUAGGUGGUACCUGGUUGGGAAAGCUGGAGAAAAAUGUAGUCAUCCAGUUCUGCACAGUUCUGUAUUGCCAAGCUCCAGGAGGCUUGGCAGCGAAAUGUCAGGUUCCAUCUUCUCCGACCUCCUAGGACAGAACAGCUAUUUGGAUUAGAUUUGACUACUGGUAAAGUUUGGCAUCUUCCAUGCUCUGUGACCCUAGGCUGCAGAAGACAUGAAGAAAAUUCUCAAAAGAGAUACUUGAAAUGGCCACUAAAUACAUACAAGGCAUUCAAACCUUUUUGGUGCAAGUUAAAACAACAGUGAGAUUCUAUUUUUCAUCUGUGAAACUGGGAAAAGAUUAAAAAUUUAUAAUACUCAUUAAUGGGGAAUGGGAUAUGUGGUCUUCCAUUGCAAACACUUGAUAAAUUUAAAGGCUUAUAUAAUAGCAUUCCUAGUACUCACAUAAUUAUUUUCUGGGGGUGUUGUUGUUUCUUCUUUUCUUUUUAAGUGACCAAAAAGGAUUUGUUGUCCUCCUAUGUUAUUAUUAAAACAAUAGCAACAAAGAAAUGAAAUCAUCAGUAAGUAUUUUAGAUGUUGUCAGUUGCCUUUUUUUUAAAAGACCUAUACGAUUACUUUUCCAUAUGUAUCUUAGAUCAUAGUAAUACCUGUAAGUGACAUUUAGCCACUGAAUGAGUUAGAACAAUCGUUGCCUUUAUGCUUGUCUUUAUUUAGAUGUGAACAAUCCUGUAACAAAGGUUAUUAGCUGUUUUCAUUGAUAACUUAGCUGUUCUUACAAAUGUGAUACAAAUGUGCCACUAGUAGCACUAAAUAAAAAUUCCUCCUUAUUAUGAAGAGCAAAAAAAUGGUGAAGAAGAGAAAUGAAUUAUUGGGGGCAGGGAAUACCCCCAGGUCUUGUUUUGUGAGUUGUUGGAAAUAUAAAUUAUUUUGUAAUGUAAACACUUAUGUCCAGGUUGAGCAGUGUCGUCUUUUCACUGCAUUCUCUUACUCUUUCAGUCAACCAGCCACUCGACCCUCCUCAGUAUCUCUUAGCAAAUCAACAUAGGAUGUGUUUCUUAAACGGCUCCCCAGCACACACUCACUGGUGGCUGUGGAAGAUGAAAACUGAUAGUAGGGAGACAUGAACAGCCCACAUCUUGAUCAUGGAUCUUGUGCUCUGGCUUUCAAAGUUGUCACU